rnacentral:rRNA from 1 species
ACGCUGGCGGCAGGCUUAACACAUGCAAGUCGAACGGUAGCAGGAGGAAGCUUGCUUUCUUGCUGACGAGUGGCGGACGGGUGAGUAAUGCUUGGGAAUCUGGCUUAUGGAGGGGGAUAACUACGGGAAACUGUAGCUAAUACCGCGUAGUGUCGAGAGACGAAAGUGCGGGACCGCAAGGCCGCAUGCCAUGAGAUGAGCCCAAGUGGGAUUGGUAGUUGGUGGGGUAAAGGCCUACCAUGCCUGCGAUCUCUAGCUGGUCUGAGAGGAUGGCCAGCCACACUGGAACUGAGACACGGUCCAGACUCCUACGGGAGGCAGCAGUGGGGAAUAUUGCGCAAUGGGGGGAACCCUGACGCAGCCAUGCCGCGUGAAUGAAGAAGGCCUUCGGGUUGUAAAGUUCUUUCGGUAUUGAGGAAGGAGUGUAUGUUAAUAGCAUACAUUAUUGACGUUAAAUACAGAAGAAGCACCGGCUAACUCCGUGCCAGCAGCCGCGGUAAUACGGAGGGUGCGAGCGUUAAUCGGAAUAACUGGGCGUAAAGGGCACGCAGGCGGUUAUUUAAGUGAGGUGUGAAAGCCCCGGGCUUAACCUGGGAAUUGCAUUUCAGACUGGGUAACUAGAGUACUUUAGGGAGGGGUAGAAUUCCACGUGUAGCGGUGAAAUGCGUAGAGAUGUGGAGGAAUACCGAAGGCGAAGGCAGCCCCUUGGGAAUGUACUGACGCUCAUGUGCGAAAGCGUGGGGAGCAAACAGGAUUAGAUACCCUGGUAGUCCACGCUGUAAACGCUGUCGAUUUGGGGAUUGGGCUUAAAGCUUGGUGCCCGUAGCUAACGUGAUAAAUCGACCGCCUGGGGAGUACGGCCGCAAGGUUAAAACUCAAAUGAAUUGACGGGGGCCCGCACAAGCG